AAUUCUUUUAGGCCAUUUCUGAUUAAGCGUGCUUCAAUUGUUUGUGUUGUAUUCAUGUGAUUGCUUCAUUGGUUUGGGGUUUCCUCAGGUGAAUUCUUCUCUUUCCUAACCAUGCUUUUUUUUAUUUUCUAAUCCAGGAUGAUUCAUAUCUCGAGAGUUACAUAAGCACCAUUGGGGUUGACUUUAAAAUUCGCACUGUGGAACAGGAUGGAAAGACCAUCAAACUACAAAUUUGGGACACUGCUGGGCAAGAACGUUUUAGGACGAUCACUAGCAGCUACUAUCGUGGAGCACAUGGAAUUAUUGUGGUUUAUGAUGUGACGGAUCAAGAAAGCUUGUAUGCAGUCAGAGACAAGGAAGCUUGGCAUUAAGUAUUGCUACAAUCAGCCCUGUGCCUUGUAUGCAGUCAGGCUCCAUUUUGUGAAUUAAAAGCCAACGAACUUCAGUCCAAGUGGGUUACUUGCUUUGAUUGAUAUGUUAUGAUUUGUCUAUCUUUCUACUCAUCAACACUCAUUGUGUGUUGAAGACUAUGUAAACAAACUUCAACUUUGAUGUAAUUUUUACUUUCUUAA